CCACCGCAAUCGUCCGAGAUACUGGGAGCCAUGGCGGUGUCGGUGGAAAAAACCCCGGGCUGCUGGAGAUGCUCAGCUUACCCCAGCAGCCGGCUGGCUCCUGCCCGGGUGGGUGUGCAAACAGCCCGGGGACGAAUGUGGCUCAAAACCAACAAUUUCCAACCAGCAGAGCCAAACUUAGUUUAGGCCAGCAUUUGACCACAGUCUAAUUUACUAUCCACGCAGAACAGACCUCAGAAUUUGAAGAUACACUAAAACUUCAAAUGGCCAUGCACAUCACAGAUUGCAUCACCAAGAAGAGCUCCGUGACCUCAUCCCUGGACUAUCUGGAAAAAGUAAGAUUUUACAAAAGAAUUAAAGAAGUGCCAAAAUGACA